rnacentral:rRNA from 1 species
AUUGAACGCUGGCGGCAUGCUUUACACAUGCAAGUCGAACGGUAACAGGCCGCAAGGUGCUGACGAGUGGCGAACGGGUGAGUAAUGCAUCGGAACGUGCCCAGUCGUGGGGGAUAACGCAGCGAAAGCUGCGCUAAUACCGCAUACGAUCUAUGGAUGAAAGCGGGGGACCGUAAGGCCUCGCGCGAUUGGAGCGGCCGAUGUCAGAUUAGGUAGUUGGUGGGGUAAAGGCUCACCAAGCCAACGAUCUGUAGCUGGUCUGAGAGGACGACCAGCCACACUGGGGCUGAGACACGGCCGAGACUCCUACGGGAGGCAGCAGUGGGGAAUUUUGGACAAUGGGCGCAAGCCUGAUCCAGCAAUGCCGCGUGCAGGAAGAAGGCCUUCGGGUUGUAAACUGCUUUUGUACGGAACGAAACGGCUCUGGUUAAUACCUGGGGCUAAUGACGGUACCGUAAGAAUAAGCACCGGCUAACUACGUGCCAGCCGCCGCCGUAAAAC